GGAGCUCAGGGAUAGAUAACAUAGAUAGCAUCCAGGCCCACAGUUCAAGCCCCAGGAACAGAAAAAAAAAAAGACAAAAGGACUAAGAGAUAGAAAACUUGACAAUUAUGUAAAAUCUCUGCUAAACACGAGAAGUAGUCUUUACAAUAAAUACUCUGAAAUUCUGCUCAUCUUUUUGUUAUUAAAAAAAAAAAGGGGCAUUUUUGCUGGGCAUUAGUGGUUCAUGCCUAUAAUCCUAGCUACUCAGGAGGCUGAGAUCUGAGGA